CCUGGUUGAUCCUGCCAGUAGUCAUAUGCUUGUCUCAAAGAUUAAGCCAUGCAAGUCUAAGUACGAGCUCUCGUACAGUGAAACUGCGAAUGGCUCAUUAAAUCAGUUAUGGUUCAUUUGAUCGUACAGUUUACUUGGAUAACUGUGGUAAUUCUAGAGCUAAUACAUGCGAGAAGCGCCGACCUCGCGGGAGGCGUGCAUUUAUCAGACCAAAAACCGGCCGCGUCUUCGGGCGCGUUCGCCUUGGUGACUCUGGAUAACUUUGCGGAUCGCACGGUCUAGCACCGGCGACGGAUCAUUCAAGUGUCUGCCCUAUCAACUUUCGUCGGUACGGUAUUUGCCUACCGAGGUUCUUACGGGUGACGGGGAAUCAGGGUUCGAUUCCGGAGAGGGAGCCUGAGAAACGGCUACCACAUCCAAGGAAGGCAGCAGGCGCGCAAAUUACCCAUUCCCGACGCGGGGAGGUAGUGACGAAAAAUAACAAUGCAGGACUCGUUCGAGGCCCUGUAAUUGGAAUGAGUACACUUUAAAAGCUUUAACGAGUAUCCAUUGGAGGGCAAGUCUGGUGCCAGCAGCCGCGGUAAUUCCAGCUCCAAAAGUAUAUAUUUAAGUUGUUGCGGUUAAAAAGCUCGUAGUUGGAUUUUGGGCGCAGGCGGCCGGUCCGUCGCAAGGCGUGUACUGGACGUCCUGGCCUUCCCUCCGGUUCUCCGCCGGUGCUCUUGACUGAGUGUCGGCGGCGGCCGGAACGUUUACUUUGAAAAAAUUAGAGUGUUCAAAGCAGGCUCUCGAGCCUGGAUAAUGGUGCAUGGAAUAAUGGAAUAGGACCUCGGUUCUAUUUUGUUGGUUUUCGGAGCGCGAGGUAAUGAUUAAGAGGGACAGACGGGGGCAUUCGUACUGUGCCGUUAGAGGUGAAAUUCUUGGAUCGGCGCAAGACGAACGACUGCGAAAGCAUUUGCCAAGAAUGUUUUCUUUAAUCAAGAGCGAAAGUCAGAGGUUCGAAGACGAUCAGAUACCGUCCUAGUUCUGACUAUAAACGAUGCCAACUAGCGAUCGGGGGGCGU
rnacentral:rRNA from 1 species